ensembl:lncRNA
CAGGUUUUAAUCACACAGGUUACAAGGUUUUAAUCACACUGGUUUGAUUGUAGACCUCAGGGUCCAACCUCUCUGGUUUGAUGAUAAGUUUCAAAAGGUUAACCAAACACUCUUCACUCUUGUGUGCUGGCGGUUCAGGGUUUGAGCGGUAUAGAGAAAGGACUUGACAUCUUUUGACCGAGGCAACAGGCUUAACAGUGAAGGAAUAGAGGAUACAAAGAUAUUUAUUCCUUUACUCCACAGUUAAUUUUCAAAUCUCUAACAUCCUAUGGCUGUCUAUUUUUUUCUGGAGCCUUCUCUUUUCACUUUUUUUUUUUGCUUUCAUUCUUUUCAAGACGAAACGGGAGCUGGGUGCUGAUAGUGAUAGAUGGCUCAGCGCUCUAACACUUUAUCCAAUUCAGUGCAGAUUUCAUCCAAUAAAGAAUCACUUGUGCACUCUCAAACUAAAUGGAAGUCAGGCAGCGGAGAGAAAGGGGCUGCGGUUUGUUUCUGAGCUGCGAAAAUCAAAUUUUCUUAAAGCUGCCGCGGCAGUGGCUUGCGGAAAAAGCAGCAACAGCCAUGACUGGCCGGGGCCACAGCCGUCUGCACACACAAUUUAAUCCAUCACAGAGCUCCUGACACCACAUCAAUCAAGCUUUCAUCAGCAUGGACCCCAAAAAACUAUAUUUCCAUUCACCCACUACUAACUGGGGCAAAGCCAAGCCCCUGCUGGCCAAUAGCAGAGACCGGGAGGCCCCCAACCAGACAGGACUGGGUAGCACCACCUACGGCGCUCGCGCACAGACACACUCUCAGCAGGCAGGUCGGUCGGGCUUCGGAAAUUCCUCAUCGCAGAGACAUUUCAACAGCACAGAGCUGCCCCUCAAAGUGCCUGAGGGACCCUGAUAACCCUUUGAUAGAGAGAAGGCUGGAUGCUGUUGUCUAUAGCUGGCACCUUCCCCAUAGCAGAUAUGAGGAUGUGUAUUCAUUCAAGCCAGCGGGGGCCCGAGCUAACAUGUUAACCCAGACCGGCAACAGGAAGAGAAGCUUUGGGAGGAGAGGAGAAAGGACAAAUACAGGAGAGAGAGACAGGAACUACAGUGGCCCAUCAGAAGAGCGAGAGAGAGUGAAGGGAUGCUUCUGGGAGACAGAAUGAGCAAUUGGACCCAGGAAGCUAUUGUUUGUUUGCGUUUGUGUGUGUAUGGAGGACCGUAAUCACUGCAGCACUUUCCUACUGUGUAUCCGAGUGUGUGUGUGUGUGUGUGUGUGUGUGUGUGUGUGUGUGUGUGUGUGUGUGUGUGUGUGUGUGUGUGUGUGUGUGUGUGUGUGUGUGUGUGUGUAUGGAUAUAAAGGCAUUGGGGGGUGGCAUCCACUUUGAGGAAUCAAGAAAAUAGGGUCAUGGAGAUUAAAAGAGGAAAAAAAGACAAGACAGAAAACAUGACCACUAUUUUUAAAAAGGCAAAUCUGGCAGCUCUAAAGAUCUGAAGGGAGAACGUGAAUAAAGCAACCUGGCAGCCAGUGCUGUAUUAAGCUCUCCGAGGGUUUACAUAAACACAUAAUAAAAAGGAAGCAUCUCCGCAGAGAAUAGCACUCUUCAUUUAGCAUGUGUGUGAAGGAGAAAUGCUGUCAAUGUUCCCUAUUUCAAUACCACCUUUAAAACCGCAAGACUGAUAUGAUUUCUCAAUAUGGUGGUUGACCGACAGUUUCAACCUGGAUACAUCCGAUCAACAUAUCGGAUAAGAGGAUACGUGUGAAAAAUGCCAUUUCCUGCAAGCAAAAGGAGUGUUUUGUUUUUUAGACUUGGGUUUUGGAGCAGAUCCAUCCAUUUAUUUCUCCAAACCGCUUGUCCAGUUGUAGGGUCUUGUGGAUUCUAGAGCCCAUACCAACAUAUCAGACAGUAAUAAGUGCAGUCCAUCACAGGCUUUGAGCAGAUUGUGCAAUAUAAGAGGGGAAAAUUAAGUAUUGCUUCUGUACACCAUUUUGAGAUUAUACAGACAAAAGAAUAUUACAGAAGGUCGGCACUGUAAAGGUAAUUUAAAUUAUCUCAAUUUAAAUUAACUCGACUGAAAAAUCUGAAAUAAUAUGACUUCACCAAGAAAGUCAUUUUAAGAGGACAGAAAUGUCGUCUUAAGGAAACAAGUGCCCCGUUUAGUUUAUUAUUAUUAUUAUUAUUAUUAUUAUUAUUAUUAUUAUUAUUAUUAUUAUUAUUUAUUUAUUUAUUUAUUUAAUUUUUUUAUAUACAGUGUGGCUAAAAAAUUGUCCUCCGUUAAUGACUAAAAAAAAUACAGGAAUAAAUCAGAACAGGAGCAAAUGCAAAAGAAAUGUAAAAAAUCAUUAGCAUAUCUCAUAUAUGUUUUGUUGUUGUGUAAGAGGGACUAAUGCACAUCAUAAGGCACAUGGUGCAUUUUUUAUUUAUUUAUUUAUUUGCCUGUGUAUUUUCAAAGGGAUAUAGAAGAGCGAAUGAAGCUCACGGAGGAAGGGAAAGGGAAAGAAAUAGAGAGAGAGAGAGAGGUAAAAAAAAAAAAUAGAGCAAGUGAGAGUGCCCUCUUCUGAUCAUCGCCUGAAUUAGAGAGAGCUUCCUGUCUCCAUCUUGUCACAGAAAUAUCUAGUGCUGUAUAAAUUAAAAAUCACAAAUGUAUUAUAUUCUAUUAUUUAGUGCAUGUUUGUGCAUCUAAGUGUUGAUCUGCUUUAAAAAAAUUUAACAUGAAAUGAAAAAAAAUGAAGAAAAAAAUAUUCAAUGGCAUAAGCAGUGUGUUACUGCUCAGUAAUCUUAUUUACUGAUCAAAUUGUUUAGCACUAGUUGAUGUACAGUAAUACUGUCACGUAUCGCCUUGCCAAAAUAUAAAAACCCCAUCCAGCGGUAUAAAUUAGUACGGUCAGCGUAUGUCCCCUUCAGAUGGAGCAGGAAUGAGGUGAUAAAGGUUAUUUAGUGGGGACCAAAUGGGGGCUGAUGGCUCCUGUUUCUCACACACUCACUGCAAGAGUGUGAUACACGCCUGGCUGGAUUCCGGCCAGUCAUCUGUGCCGAAAAACCAUAGACAGACAGUCCGACAUCGCCGCUCGGGAACCAAAGCAUCUGCAACUGAAAUCAUUGCCGAAAAGCCAGAAAACAUUGUCGACACAUCGCCUUCUGCACCAAAGGGUCUGUCGCAGCAAUGUAUCGCCCCUCUCGGCUGAGCUUUAUAACCCGU